rnacentral:lncRNA from 1 species
AUUAAGUUAGUGGACAAAGCAUUAUUGUCCACUUUAAUGCCAUUCACCAUUUCCCGAUCAGAUUCUCCAAACUCCUCUCUCCCAUCAACCAAUUCAUUCAAAAAGAGUUUAUCCCCACGAUUUCUCUCUCCACUUCCAAUGAUUAUUUUCUUCUCUUCACUUUCUCUAGCCAACUCACCUUCAUUCUUCCAUUUUUUCCUUUCUUUUGGUUCACCAAAAAAACGUCUUAAAAAUGAGACAUGAAACACUGGGUGGAUGCAAGCCGAAGGUGGAAGUUCUAGUUCAUAAGCAACCAGUCAUACUUGCUUAACAUCCUUGUACGGUCAGUAAAAACACUAUGACAGUUUCUAAGACCGGCGGCGUGCCAGUGUUUGUUGCUGAUAAGCUUGGAGGCAUAGGAGAACCCAAUCUCCAACUUCAAAGGUAACAUCUUUUCUACUCGAAUUGGCUUGUGCUUUCAUACGUUGUUGUGCAUGAAGAAGGUGUUGUUUGAGUGUCACUAACAUCUCGGUUCUUGUCUGUAGGAUAUCACGGAUCUGAGUGUUAUUGGUUGAUCCCGGAAGGUAGUCACGUAGUGUCGGAGGUGUUCUACCGUAUAGUGCUUCAAAUGGUGAAAAUUGGAGAGUUGAGUGGCGGUUUGUAUUAUACCAAUACUCAGCCAAAGGAAGGUGAGAAAACCAGCGGUUCGGUUGAGUCCCUGUGAAACAUCGAAGGUAUGUUUGGAGUCUGCGGUUCACAACUUCGGUUUAACUGUCCGACUGUGGGUGAUAGGCAGUGUUGUAGCAUAAUGAAGUGCCUAGAAGCUUAAAGAGCUCCUUCUAGAACCCGCUGAGGAACAAGGGAUCACGGUCCGAGAUUAUGCUUUUUGGAACACCAUGGAGCCUGCAAAUAUAAUUUAGAAAACGCCUUGCUAGGGUGUCAUCCGUGAACCGAGUUGGUAGCACCGUGACAAGAGGCAGUAAGUCAAGCCAAGGUUGAUUUCCACCCAGAAUGACCAGCAAAUGGUGACUCAUGGAACUCUUUCAACAAAGUUACUCUCAGAUCCAGAGAAUCAGGUAUAAAAAUUCGGUUUUGAAAAAAUACGAGUCCUUGUGAUAUAUGAAACUUUGAACUACAUUUUGCCUCUGAUUCUAAUUUAUUGAGAAAUUGUUGACCACAUGAGGUACUGUAAUAAGCGCGGAUCUGUUCCAGAAUUGUUGGGAAUGAAGAGGACAUGGAGUAACAUGUGGCAGACUCCUCACUAUGGCAUCUGGAUAAGUCAUCAGCGACACAAUUAGAGGUACCAGUCCUUAUUUAAUUUCAUAGUCAAAACCUAUUAGUUUUGUUGCCCACUUUUUCUAUUCCGGUGUGUAGAAACCUUGAGUCAUUAAAUGUUUCAAGCUUUGUUGAUCUAUGUAGAUUUGCAAUUUUCGACCAAUGAGUUACUAAUGCCAUUUCUUUAUAGAUUUUGUCCACUUCAAACAUCUCGCGGACAUAUGCCGAAGAGUGUUGCAUCUGAGGUGUCAAUUUUUUGCUAAAGAAGGCUACCGAAUGACCGUCUUGUGAGAGGAUAUCACCAAUGGCGACGGCUGAGGCGUCUAUUUCCACAAAAAAUGGCUUGGAGAAGUUGGGUAGUUGUAGGACAGGGGUGGUAGACAUAGUUGUUUUUAAUUCAUUAAAGGUGACUUGUGCCUUAUAGUCCAUGUAUAUGUCUGUAAUUUUAACAAAUCGGUGAGGGGAGCAGCGAGUGUGGCGUAGUGCUUUACAAACUUCCGAUAGAAACUAGUGAGGCCCAAAAAUCCCUUGAGUUUUGUGAGGGAACAUGGCUUAGGCCAUUCAAUCAUUGCAUGUAUUUUAUCAGGGUUUGGGGUAACCACCCUUGCUAAAGUGAUAUGAACUAAGUAACCAAC